rnacentral:lncRNA from 1 species
UACUCAGCCUCAUUGGUUAAAGUAACUAGUUUCAAGGCUGGACUUCCUCCUGGUUUUUUGAAGUAAAAAUAUUUUACACUAACGUGAAAUAUAAGAAAAUAUUCUACACUAUACUUUAUUCCUAUCGUAAAGAAGCUCAUCUUAUAGUUCUUUCAGUACAAAUAGCAAGUGCAUGUUCCCAGCACGGCAGUCCUGAUAUCACGUGUGAGGUGGCUCCCAGGAUAGAGUUACUCCAGAUUAAAAUUAAUUUGCAUUUGAACCAGAGGCUGGAUUGCACUUUUCCAUGGCUGCACCCCAAAGCACACAGUUGCAUCCACUGGGAUCCCUCUGAAGAGAAAAGAGAAGCUGUCCUUCUAGUGGGCUGACUACAGGCAGCAAUGCAGCCAGUCUCUGCGACUCCACAAACUGCAGCCUACAAACCACCGACCAGAGCUCGGGCUCAUUUAUCACCAGCCAGGGAGCUGAUGACUUCCACUUGUACCUCGGUGCCCACCCCUGCUGACAAAUGAGCCGUGGAAAAGAGGUAGGGAAAGGUGGAGCUCGCUGCAGGCACUGACUUCUUGGAACAAUAACAAUUCUGCUCUUGAAUUCUGGAACGUGCUGUGCCUUAAGCGUGACAUUGAGAAGUGCUGUGUUGCUUUGUCCCCAGCUCUUACACCCACCUGGGGUCUUAGCACCCCAGUUUUUCUCCUCCUGCCUUAGUUUUCCCUUGCCUGUCAGCUUUGGGGCUGGGGAGGAGUGGAAGUGACUUUUCUGGGGUCCCUGUGCCAGCUUGAUCAGACGGGUGAAGAUGUACCCUCUCCUCGGAGGAGUUACCUAAAGUAAGGGAAGGCGUACACAGCCUGACCAUUCACAGCACCUUGCUCAGCCCAGCCUCAAGGACCACCAUCUCUGCCUGACCCUAAAAGUUGAGGUUGUUGGGCUUCUCCCAGCUUGUGCACAAGAGGAGCACAGCUCAUUUUUUGUGUACUGGAGUAAAUGCCUGCCUUGCCUUCAACCAGCGAUGCACACACACCAUACAGCAGCACAGUGGAUGAAAGACAAGAGCGUUACCUCACCAUUGCAGGCACAUCACUGCAGCUGGUGCUAAUAGGAAAUGUAUCUUCUUCAGAGGUGCUGGACGCAUUUUGCACAGUUAAGUUGAGCCUGCCCAUGUGAACAGCAUCAAACAACUAUUAAAAGACACCCCGCUCCCCCCCAAAGGGAACACCAGUGGCGAAUAUCUGAAAACCUCCUCGUUAACAAGGUAACCUUUGAGACUGGUGAGAAGACAAGGGAGCGUUUACCAGCCGCUGUAUUGAUAAUUAUGGGAAAAGAAAAUCGCAGCUCAUUGUCUAUCCCAGUGGGGUGAAAGAGAAAUAAAUAAGGCAGGAACAUCUUGUGCCGUGCCUAU